rnacentral:rRNA from 1 species
UACGUAGGGGGCGAGCGUUGUCCGGAAUGAUUGGGCGUAAAGGGCGCGUAGGCGGCUUGUUAAGUCUGGAGUGGAAGUCCUCUUUUCAAGGGAGGAAUUGCUUUGGAAACUGGCGGGCUUGAGUGCAGAAGAGGUUAUCGGAAUUCCCGGUGUAGCGGUGAAAUGCGUAGAGAUCGGGAGGAACACCAGUGGCGAAGGCGGGUAACUGGACUGCAACUGACGCUGAGGCGCGAAAGUGUGGGGAGCAAACAGG